rnacentral:rRNA from 1 species
UGGGGAAUAUUGGACAAUGGGCGGAAGCCUGAUCCAGCAACGCCGCGUGAGGGAUGACGGCCUUCGGGUUGUAAACCUCUUUCAGUACCGACGAAGCGAAAGUGACGGUAGGUACAGAAGAAGGACCGGCCAACUACGUGCCAGCAGCCGCGGUAAUACGUAGGGUCCGAGCGUUGUCCGGAAUUAUUGGGCGUAAAGGGCUCGUAGGCGGUUUGUCGCGUCGGGAGUGAAAACAGCGGGCUUAACUCGUUGCUUGCUUUCGAUACGGGGCAGACUAGAGGUAUGCAGGGGAGAAUGGAAUUCCUGGUGUAGCGGUGAAAUGCGCAGAUAUCAGGAGGAACACCGGUGGCGAAGGCGGUUCUCUGGCAUUACCUGACGCUGAGGAGCGAAAGUGUGGGGAGCGAACAGGAUUAGAUACCCUGUAGUCCACACCGUAAACGUUGGGCGCUAGGUGUGGGGUCCUUUCCACGGAUUCCGUGCCGUAGCUAAC